rnacentral:rRNA from 1 species
AACGAACGCUGGCGGCAGGCUUAACACAUGCAAGUCGAACGCCCCGCAAGGGGAGUGGCAGACGGGUGAGUAACGCGUGGGAAUCUACCCAGUUCUACGGAACAACUGAGGGAAACUCCAGCUAAUACCGUAUACGCCCUACGGGGGAAAGAUUUAUCGGAAUUGGAUGAGCCCGCGUUGGAUUAGCUAGUUGGUGAGGUAACGGCUCACCAAGGCGACGAUCCAUAGCUGGUCUGAGAGGAUGAUCAGCCACACUGGGACUGAGACACGGCCCAGACUCCUACGGGAGGCAGCAGUGGGGGAUAUUGGACAAUGGGCGCAAGCCUGAUCCAGCCAUGCCGCGUGAGUGAUGAAGGCCUUAGGGUUGUAAAGCUCUUUCAGUGGGGACGAUAAUGACGGUACCCACAGAAGAAGCCCCGGCUAACUUCGUGCCAGCCGCCGCCGUAACAC